rnacentral:rRNA from 1 species
AGUGAACGCUGGCGGCAGGCCUAACACAUGCAAGUCGAACGGCAGCACAGUGGAGCUUGCUCCAUGGGUGGCGAGUGGCGGACGGGUGAGGAAUACAUCGGAAUCUGCCCAGUCGUGGGGGAUAACAUAGGGAAACUUAUGCUAAUACCGCAUACGACCUACGGGUGAAAGCGGGGGAUCGCAAGACCUCGCGCGAUUGGAUGAGCCGAUGUCCGAUUAGCUAGUUGGCGGGGUAAUGGCCCACCAAGGCGACGAUCGGUAGCUGGUCUGAGAGGAUGAUCAGCCACACUGGAACUGAGACACGGUCCAGACUCCUACGGGAGGCAGCAGUGGGGAAUAUUGGACAAUGGGCGCAAGCCUGAUCCAGCCAUGCCGCGUGGGUGAAGAAGGCCUUCGGGUUGUAAAGCCCUUUUGUCCGGAAAGAAACGCCUCGGAUUAAUACUCUGGGGUAAUGACGGUACCGGAAGAAUAAGCACCGGCUAACUUCGUGCCAGCCGCCGCGGUAAGAC